rnacentral:rRNA from 1 species
UGGGGAAUUUUGGACAAUGGGGGCAACCCUGAUCCAGCCAUUCCGCGUGAGUGAAGAAGGCCUUCGGGUUGUAAAGCUCUUUCAGCUGGAACGAAACGGUGCGCUCUAACAUAGCGUGCUAAUGACGGUACCAGCAGAAGAAGCACCGGCUAACUACGUGCCAGCAGCCGCGGUAAUACGUAGGGUGCGAGCGUUAAUCGGAAUUACUGGGCGUAAAGCGUGCGCAGGCGGAUUGGUAAGCAAGACGUGAAAUCCCCGGGCUUAACCUGGGAAUGGCUUUUUGAACUGGCAGUCUCGAGUGCGUCAGAGGGGGGUGGAAUUCCACGUGUAGCAGUGAAAUGCGUAGAGAUGUGGUGGAACACCGAUGGCGAAGGCAGCCCCCUGGGAUGACACUGACGCUCAUGUACGAAAGCGUGGGUAGCAAACAGG